CUAAACAGUGUGGUUUUGUUUUAAAGGUAUCUUCUCCACUUCCUUCCUUGUCCCCUCAAAGAUGUUGACUAACAUCAAGGCAACACCUUCUUUGUAGAUGAAAGAGCAGUUGGGCUGUCAGCUGCUCAAACCGUUUUGUUGUGCAACCUCGUUUGAAAACGAUGUGAGGAAGAAUAAACAACCGUGAAUGUGGAGUCAAGGAGACCUGAGGGUGAAGCCCAGCUUGGCUGCCUGCCUGCUGUGGACCUUGGACAAAUUGCAUGGCAAUUCUGGGUCCCUGAUCUCCUCUUCUGACACACCAUGACCUGGUGUAAUGUGGGACGCCCGACUUGCCUGCAAGUAAGACGCCACAACAGGA
rnacentral:lncRNA from 1 species